UACGGGGGGGGCAAGCGUUGUUCGGAAUUAUUGGGCGUAAAGAGCUCGUAGGCGGCUUGUCACGUCGGGUGUGAAAGCCCGGGGCUUAACCCCGGGUCUGCAUUCGAUACGGGCAGGCUAGAGUGUGGUAGGGGAGAUCGGAAUUCCUGGUGUAGCGGUGAAAUGCGCAGAUAUCAGGAGGAACACCGGUGGCGAAGGCGGGUCUCUGGGCCGAUACUGACGCUGAGGAGCGAAAGCGUGGGGAGCGAACAGG
rnacentral:rRNA from 1 species